UUCUUUGCUAUGUGUGAUCUUCUUGCUUAUGAGUGAACAUAUAACAAGUUUAUUCAAUUUUAAACAAGGAAACUAAAGGAGAGGGCUUCUGGAAGCAACAAUAGUGAAAGGUGAAGAAGUUAAGAAUAAAGGAAAAGCCUUUCAUAUGCGAGCCUUGCCAACUUCAUCAUAAAACACCCUUCAUUCCCCCUCCUUCUCUGCUCCCUCCCUCCCUCUGUUCAUGCAGCAGAUGCUUAAAUGCCCCUGAUACGCACCACAGAACUGCAUACUUGACUCAUGCUCUCUGCAGGUCAUUUGAAAAAAUAAGCAUGAAGAAUUUGGUGAAGACUGCGAUAAUUGGGAGGAGGAGGUAUUCUUGAUAUUCUUGGAAAAUUUUCCAGAAAUAAGACCCACUGUCUCAUUUCCAUCUCUACUUCCAGAACACCCACAUGCCACCAUGUUAAGUGCUAUUUAUGUCAUCAGCCAAGAAAAUGUAUUUGAUAAAGAACCUUGACAAUGGUAGAAAAUUGAUGCUCCCUAUAACUUCAGCAGAAGGGAGUUUUUAGCUCCACCGCCCCAUGAUCCUGCAAGCAGUUAGGGAGCUCACUCCACUUUCUAAAGGACACUGAUAACGGUAAUAAUAUUCCAUCCCUGAUCAGAGGAAAGGAGAGAGGAGCUAAGGAAAAGCUGAAAAACAAAUCCCGUUCUUUUAUGAGGACUAGUAAAGAAUGAGAGAGAAAUAAAUCCAUCUAUCAAACAGACUUUCAAAUGAUGACUUCAUUAGUAAAGCAAUGAUCAGUUUGACUCUGGGACAAAACAAAACUGGGGACAGAAAAACUUGGACAAAAUAAUAAAGUUGUAGAGACAACAUUUUGGCUGUAACGAUGAAAGUGUUAUUAGUAUCUUUAUUGUUGUUGAUGCUGCAUUUGUUGAUAUUUAAGCACUUUGGAAUUUUUGGUACUGUUUGUGAACCCCAGAAUGUUUUAAUGUUUUUUCAAUUUCCAUAUUGCUUUCUAGAAUUUUGUUCAUUUCUGAAUUUUAUGCAUUUUUUAAAAUUUAUAGUUUGCUUUGCCU